CGCUCACGUUCCCCCGGGGGAACAGCUCUCUUUUCCUCCCACUCGACGCUCGUUGGAUCCUUUCAAUCGAACCGUUCUCCUUCCGCCACGUCGCCACCUUAUCCGUCCGCGGACCGCGCCGUUCCGGACCGCGCCGCCCCCGACCUCAUUACUGCGCCUCGCCGCGCCCCUUAAUCACGCUCUCGCGCGAGGUGGCGGAGGAAGCGAGCGGCGGCUAGGGAGCGGUUCUGGGAGAUUCAACCGCCGCUGGCGACGAUUUCCGCCGCCCACCGGAGAACGGCGGCGCCAAGCUUCGUAGUAGAGGUUCAUCGGCGCCGAUCUCCUCCCCCGCGUCGUGUUAUUCUUCGUUGCCGAUCUGUUCGGUAUUGAAGGUAGAGAGCGCCCUGAUCUAUUGGGAGACGUGGAAGUGAGAAUCUUCCACUUUUGCUACAGAUGGAUGUUUCCAAAAAAGCUGGGAAGCAACCUAUGCCUAGUGCAGAGGAUCAAGCUAAGUGGACUUCGAAAGACCGUUUUG